rnacentral:tRNA from 1 species
GCCGCGGUAGUGUAGUGGUUAGCACAGGGGACUGUGGAUCCCCUAGCCGGGGUUCGAAUCCCCGCCGCGGCCCCA